GGCUCCGUCGUGCAGCCAUGAGCACGUCUGCCUUACACACGGAAGGUCCUGGGUUCGUGCCCCAGUGGAGCCG
rnacentral:tRNA from 1 species